GUGCUUUGCUUUAUCAGCACAUAUACUGCCAAACUGGAACAAUACAGAAGAUUAGCAUGGCCCCUGUAUAAGCAUGUUACGAAAAUUUGUGAAAUGUUCCUUUCCAAA
rnacentral:snRNA from 1 species